GGGUCAAACUGGAGCUAUAGCCAUCAGCCUACACCAUAGCCACAGCAAUGAGGGAUCUGAGCCAUGUCUGCAACCUAUACCACAGCUCACAGCAACACCAUACCCUUAAUCCACUGAGCAAGGCCAGGGAUCAAACUCACAUCCUCAUGGAUGUCAGUUUUGUUAACCACUGAGCCACAAUGGGAACUUCUGCUUAUCCAUUCUUAGUAGUUUGCAUCUACUAACCCCAAACUCCCAGUACAUCCCACUCUCUCCCCCCUCCCCCUUGGCAGCCACACAAGUCUGUUCUCUACGUUCGUGAGUCUGUUGUUUUGUAGAUAGGUUCAUUUGUGCUAUAUUUUAGAUUCACAUGUAAGUGAUACCACAUGAUCCAGCAGUCCUACUCCUAGGUAUAUGUCCAAACAAAACUAUAGUUCAAAAAGAUACAUGCACCCGUAUGUUCAGAGUAGCACUAUUCACAAUAGCCAAGACAUGGAAACAACCUCAGUGUCCAUCAACAGAUAAAUGGAUGCAGAAGAUGUGACACAUACAUAAAAUGGAAUAUUAUAAAGCCACAAAAAGAAUGAAAUAAUGGCAUCUGCAGCAACAUGGAUGCAACUAGAGAUUUUCAUACUAAGUGAAAUAAGUCAGGAGAAAGACAAAAAUUUUUUUAUGAGGGAAAGAAUAUAGAUAUUUUCCCAAAGAUAUACAAAUGGCAGACAUAUGAAAAGUUGUUCAACAUGACUUAUUACUAGGAAAAGUCAAGUCAAAACUACAAUGAAAUAUUAGCUCACAUCUGUUAGAAUGGCGAUCAUUAAAAAAAAAGCUAUAACAGGUGCUAGAUGAGGAUGUGGAGAAAAAAGAACCCUUGUGCACUGUUGGUGGGAUUGUAAACUGGUACAACCACUGUGGAAAGCCUUAUGGAUGUUCCUCCAAAAAUUAAAAGUAGAACUACCAUAUGCUCUAGCAGUUUCACUUCUGGGAAUUGUCCAAAGGGGGGAAAACACUAUGCUGAUGAGAUAUCUGCACCCGCAUGUUCACUAGCAUUAUUUACAGUAGCUAAAGACAUUGAAACAGCCUAAGUGACCAUCAGUGGGUGGAUAGAUAAGGAGGUUGUGGUGUGUAGGCAAAUGCACAGGAAUAUUAUUCAGCCAUGUAAAAGGAAAUCCUGCCAUUUGCAACAGCAUAAAUGGACUUUGAGGGCAUUAUGCCAAGUGAAAUAAGAGGACAGAGAAAGAAAAAUAAUGUAAAUCUCACUUACAUGUGGAAUCUAAAAAACAAAAACCCAAGCUCAGAAAAAGACUUGUGGUUACCAAAAGUGGAGUGUAGGGAGAGGGGUCAAUUGGAUAAAAUUGAUUAAAAUGUACAAAUGUCAAAUUAUAAAUAUAUACUGGGGAUGUAAUAUACAGCAUGAUAACCAGAAUCACUAUUAAUACUGCCAUAUAGCUUAUAUAAAAGUUAAGAUAUAAUUGACAUACAAGUGAAAAGAUAACCUGUAGAAUGCAAGAAAAUAUCUGCAAUCAUAUUUCUAAAAAGGGUCAUAUAUACACAGCAUAUAUAAAGAACUGCCCCAACUCAUCAAGACAAGAAACCCAAUUGAAAAGUGGACAAAGAGUUUGAACAGACAUUUCUCCAAAGAUAUAAAUGGCCAAAAAGCACAAGAUGCUCAGUGUCAUUAGCAGUUAGGGAAAUGCAAAUGAAAGCCAUAAUGAGAAACAAUUUCACAUCCACUAGCACAUCUGUAAAAAAUAAGAAAAAAAAAGUACUAAGUAUUGCAGGGAAUGUGGAAAAAUGGGAUUCCUUGUGUACUGCUGAUGAGAAUGUAAACUGAAUGGUGCAGCUGCUGCUAAAAACAGUCUGGCAGUUCCUAAGUAAAUUUUAAAUCCAUGCCUAGGUGUGUACCCAAAAGAACUGAAAACCAGGUACUCAAACAAAUGUAGAGGAAUGUUUAUAGCAGCACUAAUCACAAUAACCAAAAUGUAGAAAACUACCCAAGUCCACAGAUGGGUAAGUGGAUAAAUAAAAUGGUAUGUACAUUUAAUGGAAUAUUACUCAUCCAUAAAAAGGAAUAAGCUACUGAUACAUGCUCCAGUGUGAUGAACCUCAAAAACAUGCCAAGGUGAAAGAAGCCAGACACAAAAAUUACAUAAUGUUGCAGUCCAUUUAUACGAAGUAUUCAAAAUAGAUAAACUCAUAGGCAAAAAGUAAAUUAUUUCUAGGGGCAACAGGGAAGAGGGUAUAGGGACUGUCUGAUUAAAGAGGACAAAAUCUUCUUUUGGCUUUUUUGGGGGUGGGGGCCUCACCCACAGCUUCAAAGUUCCUGAGCUAGGGUUCAAACCCAUGCCACAGCAGUAACCCAAGCUGCUGCAGUGACAACGCCCAAUCCUUAACCCACUGCACCGCAAGAGAACUCUGAUUCUUUCUUGACUUUAGUCAUCUGUAUAAUCUGCACUCCCUUCUCCUUUUUUGGCACAAAUGAUGUUUUUUUAAAUAUUAUUUAUGGUGCUUUAUGAAUUUAACUUCAAGCCCAGCCAACUAGCUUUCCCAAACUCCUUUUAUAUAGAAAUUCAAUUCCACCACUACAUUAUUCUUUUAAUAGCUACAAUCAUAAUACCUCUGCUUAAAAAACAAUAGCUUUUUCAGACUCACAUAGAGAACAAAUUUGUGGUUGUUACGGGGGGAGGAGGUUGGGGAGGGAUGGAGUGAAAAGUUCGGGUUAGCAGUUGGAAGCUAACUUACAUGAAGGGGAUGAUCAAUAAGGUGCUAUUGUACAGUACAGAGAGCUAUAUUCAAUGUGCUGUGAUAAACCACAAUGGGAAAGAAUGUGACUUUAAAAGGAAUGUGUGCGUGUAUCUGAACCACUUUGCUGUACUGCAGAAACACAACAUUGUAAAUUAACUAUACUUCAAUCUAAAAAAAUUAAAAACAAAAAACCAGUAGCUUUUCUUUACCUUUAAAAUGAGGUCUAAGAUUUCCCCGAUGUGGUGCAGCGGAAACAAAUCCAACCAGUAUCCAUGAGGAUGUGGGUUCGAUCCCUGGCCUUGUUCAGUGGGUCUGGGAUCCAGCGUUGUCGUCAGCUGUGGUGUAGUUCGCAGAUGUGGCUCGGAUCCCACAUUGCUGUGGCUGUGGUGUAGGCUGGCAGCUACAGAUUUGACCCCUAGCGUAGGAGCUUCCAUAUGCCAGGGGUGCGGCCCUAAAAAGCAAAAAAAAAAAAAAAAAAAAAAAAAAAAUUUUAAUUAAAAAAUAGGUCUGAAUAGCAAAGUCCAUUAACUAGUCCUCUUAAACCUGGUUCCCAUCUUACCUUUCCAACUUUGUUUCCCAUUAUUUACUUUCAUUGACCCAUUCACUUUUUCCAACAAGUACUUCAUACAUUUGUUUUUCUUUAUAUUUUCCCUCUGCCUAGAAAAUACUUCCCAAUACAUUGUCCAACUCUGUAUAUACUCAAAUCCUAUUUGAUCAAUACCCAACUGAUUACUAAUUUAGUUAAAAUUCUUUUUAAAAAUUCCCAUAGCACUUUAUCUGAACCUCCCUUACAGCAACUUUUUUUUUUCUAGCUUUGCCUGAGGCAUGCAGAAGGUUCCUGGGCCAUGGACUGAACCCAAGCCACAGCAGUAACCUAAGCCAUAACAAUGAUAAUGCCAAGUCCUUAACCACUAGGCCACCAGGGAACUCCCCUACUUUUGAUGAAAAUCUAUCUCAGACCCUCAGUAUCCUCCUCUAUCUUAUUCUUUUGCACCUCCUGUGCCUUUGCACAUACCCAACCUAUCACCAAUCUCCAUACCUGCCCAAACGCUUUUUCACCUUUGACAUCUGUCAAAUAAUACCCCAAUUAUUCCAAAUUAUGCUGUUCAGUGAAUUCCUUUAGCAAUCACAAUAGCUUCAAAAUGGAUAAAUUUCCUCAAGACACAGUGAAUUCUGGCAGAAACAUGUAAUCAUCUGAAAUAAUGUAGAGACUACAUAUACCCGAUUAGGACAGAGAAGAAUCUUUAGUUUCCUUGUAACUUUGAAACCAAGAUUAUGAUUUCUAUUUUCCUUUUUAAAAAAAGGAGGUAUUUACCUACUGAUAUGAUAAAGGUAAGAUCAUCAAGGCAUAUGAGUGAAAAAGAACAUUCAUAUUAUGUAUGCACAUGUACGUAUACACAACCACACACAUUAAAAACAUAACAAAGUUAAUGGUAAUUAGCCCUGGGGGACAUUGAAAGUAGAGUGGGGAGAAAUUAAGGAGGACUUAAAACAUUUUUCUUCAUGUACUGUGGAUCUGUUACAAGUAUAUACUCAAGUUUCACCUCUUUUUUUUUAAGGCUGCGCCUGAGGCAUAUAAAAGCUCCCAGGUCAGGGACUGAACCUGCAUUAGAGCAGCAACUCAACCAUUGCAGGACAAUGCUGGAUCCUUAACCCACUGUGCCACAAAGGAACUCCACAAGUUUUAUACUACCUUGAAAAAACAAAAUUAAAAACACUGAGUGAACACAAGGCUGUGACUCAGUUUAUCCAGGUCACACAUGAGACAAGAUACUUGCUACUUGGAGAUGAGAACAAUGACACUGUGAACAAAAAAAAACCACAGAGGUUCUAACCUUUUGAGGGAUAAGGAAGGCAGAAAUUGACUCAAAGAAAAGCCGAGGAUCAAAGAGUUACAAAGGGCUUGCCAAAAGCCUUUCAUUAAAUGGGAGAACUGAGCUUAGAGGCAAGGCCUAUGGAUUUGAAAUUCUGAGCCCUUUUCACAAUACCACAAUACACAGUCCCUUAUAAUCACAAGAUAAUUAACCACUACCUUUUAUCUCCAGAGCUGCUAAGGAUUAAAAGCGCCAAGGAUUCACUGGUUAAAACCUGUCUGGAAACCAUUAUAUCAGCAAUAUAACAGGACCUGGCAUAAUCAUCAAUUAUUAUCAUGGUUUUUCUGUUUCUGCUAAGUUAAUCUAUCCCCUAACAGACCAUCCAGGCAGUACAAUCUGUUGUGGGUUUGUGGAUCCCAAUAAACAACACCUCUUUUACCUGAGUUCAGAACCAAUAAAGGAUGAAAGAAAUGAUCACACAGAGAUUAAAAUGACACCCUUACUACUGAUAAAGGAUUUGAGGACAACACUUAGGUGUAGAGUUUCCAAUACUGAAUUCUAAAAUGAAGCUUUACUACUCAGUCACCGAAAAUACUGAAAAGCAAAACCAGGCCCCUGUGAUGCCAAAAUCACAGAAGACCAGAAAUACAUUCUGCAGGAAGUCUGGCUGUCUCCCAGAGAAAAAAAGAGGAAAGAGGAGACUGAGGCAUACUCAAGUGCCUCAGUGAGGAGAUGGGCUGCUAGACAUACCCAAGUUCCUCUCUCCCCCAAAAGCACCACAAAGGAAGGAGCAGGAGCAAAGAGAGCUCCUAUACCAGAGGAAAUCUCAAGAGGGGACUACAUGAUCUCCCUAAGUUCUUUCUUAGAUUUCAGUUUGUAGAGAGUAAGACUUCAUGGUUACCAUACACUAGAGGCCCAUGGAUCUCUUUAGGGCUCCUGAGAUCCUUUGGGGGCUCUGGAAAUUAAAAAAUAAUACUAAGAUGUGAUUUGCCAUUUCCACUGAUGGUACAAUUUGGGUUCAACUGUUGACCUUAGCAUGAUCGAGGUAGCAGCUGCUGUGUCCAUUACUGCCACAUACUCAGUAAAAAUGCCACCGGCAUGUAAGAAUACUUACGAUGAAGCAGGAAAAUCAUUUUUGUUAAUCUGACUCUUCUGUAAACAGCAUUUUAAUACUGAAAAAAAUAGGAAAACAAAGUACUUAUACUACAUAGAAAGUAUAAUACAUGCCUCAAGGAAAAGCACUGGUGUGGUUGAAGGGCAAGCUGAACUUUUUUCAUGGAAUAGCACUGUUACUUAAAAAAAUGACUGAAAAACAAAACUGACAGAUGUGUAUCUGGCAGUCAUUUUCCUGAAGUGAGGCUGAGAACACAAUUUAUAGUGCUUAUAGCUAAAUGUUAAAAAUAAAGCUUGGAGUUCCCAUUGUGGUACAGUGGAAAUGAAUCCAACUAGAAACCAAGAGGUUGUGGGUUCGAUCCCUAGCCUCGCUCAGUGGGUUAAGGAUCCAGCAUCGCCGUGAGCUAUGGGAUAGGUCGCAGACACGACUCGGAUCCCACAUUGCAGCUACAGCUCCGAUUAGACUCCUAGCUCCCAUUAACCUCCAUAUGCCGUGAGUGCAGCCCUAGAAAAGACAAAAAUAAAUAAAGCUUGUAAGCAAAAAUUAAAAUUUUAGAAAAUUUGUAUAUACCACUCUGAGCUUGAGAACUUCCCAAUACUUAACCUUGCUCUGAUACUGGUGGUAUUGGUGAGAAAAACGAAUGUGAUUUGAAUAAUGCAUAAUGAAAUGGGUCAACAUUUAGGAGAUCUACAUAACUCAAUAAACAAAUAUUUUCCAAAUGACCAGUGCAUGAU
rnacentral:lncRNA from 1 species